GAGAAACAUCAAGGGAUACAGACAUUCAUGAAAAACAAAUGGUGAAUGCCAAAAAUACAGUUUUCCCCUGAAAUUCCUCAGGAAUAAAAGAGGACUCCAGAGGCUGUGUUUUCCAGAUGUGUGCUGCUGAUAAUGAGUAUCCUGUGAACUACCUUGCCAUGUUUGAGAGAUUGGCAAAAGGCAGGAUGGAUUAGUUACUGAGAUCAUCAGAUUGGACCUCCCAUUGUUCUGCUUCAAAGCUGCUGCGAUUGUGAAUUCAAGAGAAUCCCAGGGAGCCACAGAAAAUAAACUCAAAAAUGUCAUUAAAAAUAAAUGGAAAUGUGUGGGCUGUAUCAAUAGUCAACUGGCAGCAGAAUACAAUCUAAUAUAUUUGUUUACCUUGGUUUCAGCACACCAGGAUCUGUAUGACUGUUCAGUCUCUCUUUGUGGGAAGCAAAAACAUUCUCUUGCCUACUAACAACUAUACUAAACACACCUUCGAGUUCAUUAUUGUCUCGUUAUUAAUCUAUUAUUUAAUGAUAAUUCAAUGUUCCUCACCAGAACCUUGCUCUCCCGCCACUCUCCCGCCUACCCCAGACACUAAUGAAACGUCCCAAGGCUGGUCAUUCAUUUAAGCCAAUUCUCCACCUGACUAUCUUGGUGGCACAGCCAUUCAUUGCUGUGGAGACAAUUCAAUCAAUCACUGAAGUUAAAGACCGAGUAACUCAGCUUCAGGCCAGCAGUAUAAUGGUGGUGAAAUGCUGCAUAUUAUGAAUUAAUUUCCUGAGUAUGACCUCUUUGCAAAACCUUUCUUGACCUGGUGUCAGUCCAACCUAACCUGGUGUUAGCCCAACAUUCAGUUUUGGAGGGACCAGAAUUUCCCCCACUGAAACUUUGGGCAGAUUGAUGCCAUUCUCUUCGGCCCCCUAACACAAGCUCUGCACUUUUGCUACUGAUUCAAGCCCCUUCCAACCCACUGUAUCAGUUUGAACCAAAUUAUUUGCAAUUGAGAAGCACCUUGGGAUGUUAUACUACAUUAGGAACACUAUAUAAAUGCAGGUUAUGUGGAACGUUUGCCAGAAAAGUCGUGGGUAUCGGAAAACAUUGCAGACUUGCUGCAUUUCUAGACCUAGAACUGGUCUAACAUUUUCUAUCAAGCCUGAAUUGUCAGUAUAUCCAUGAUGUAUCACUUAAAGGUUGCCUCAUACUAUUCUCAGGCCUGAGGAUCAUCAAAUCAUUCAUAUACGCCAUCUCUGAAGAUGUGACUUCUUUUGAUGUCCAAACAUUCAGAUGCUACAACAGGAUAUGUGCGUUCCCAUAGUAUAGAGGGGUAGGAACAAUGUGGAACUGUUUGAUGGGGACAGUGUAGAGGCAGAUUUACUCUGCAGCUAGUUCCAUGCUGACCCUGUCCUGGCUGUGUUUGAUGGGAACAGUACUGAGGGAGCUUUACUUUCAGUUGAAAAGAGUAGAGGGCUAGGAAACCACUGCCUCAUAACAAUCCAACGUAGCCAAUUCCUGUUAAAUGACUUACCUUUUCACUGCAAUAACACAUUCUAUUGUCAAAAAUGUAUUAAAUGGAACAAAAAGUAUCCAUAGCACAAUCACAGGCAUGUUUCAAAUACAAUAAAAAUAGUUCAGUGCAGAUACUUUUUCUCUUUCACAGACAUUCAAGGGAUGUUUUAAUGUUUUAGAUAUUCACAGCAGAACUGAGAUUGUUAAUGUUAGUGAUCACUUCAUCAGGGUUAUUAUUAUCCUGUCGGCCUUGAUCAUGUGCUUCAAAUUUCUUGGGCUACUAAUGAGCAACUUAGGAUUGGUUGUAACCAUGAUGCC